rnacentral:lncRNA from 1 species
AGGCCCCAUUUACUAACAAGAGAUUUAUGUUGUUUGUAGAGGAUUUGCUGUCCUCAGAGCAUCACCCCGGCUGCAGGUGCAUGGAGUGGAAGAUGGAGCAGAUGAAGGGCAGGCGUGCUCUGCCCUCCCAGGCUCUGGCUACCGCCACGGGCCUCUGCUGGGCCCGUCUCUAGGAGCCGUGGACUCGUGGUGCACUUGGAGUUUUCUUUGCACUUCUGUCCCCUGUCUGGGCUCUGAUGUCUCUGCAGCCUCCCUGGGCCUGUGCCCUCUUCGGGUCCCCUUCUGCACUGGCUGCUCCAUCAACAUUUCCCACUCCUUAAUACACCACGCCUGGCCACUGCUGAUGGCGCCUGUCGGGGGGCCUUUCUGUUGAUGGCGCUGUA